rnacentral:rRNA from 1 species
UGGGGAAUCUUCCGCAAUGGACGAAAGUCUGACGGAGCAACGCCGCGUGAGUGAUGACGGCCUUCGGGUUGUAAAGCUCUGUUAAUCGGGACGAAUGGUUCUUGUGCGAAUAGUGCGAGGAUUUGACGGUACCGGAAUAGAAAGCCACGGCUAACUACGUGCCAGCAGCCGCGGUAAUACGUAGGUGGCAAGCGUUGUCCGGAAUUAUUGGGCGUAAAGCGCGCGCAGGCGGAUUGGUCAGUCUGUCUUAAAAGUUCGGGGCUUAACCCCGUGAUGGAAUGGAAACUGCCAAUCUAGAGUAUCGGAGAGGAAAGUGGAAUUCCUAGUGUAGCGGUGAAAUGCGUAGAUAUUAGGAAGAACACCAGUGGCGAAGGCGACUUUCUGGACGAAAACUGACGCUGAGGCGCGAAAGCCAGGGGAGCGAACGGG